UUAAUGGAGAGUUUGAUCCUGGCUCAGGACGAACGCUGGCGGCAUGCCUAAUACAUGCAAGUCGAGC
rnacentral:rRNA from 1 species